AUAAAUACUCCCUCACCCCUUAUGCCGGUUCUGAGGAACCCUCAAUUCACCCCGGGAAUGACGCCCCAACAUUUCAUCAGGUACGAGGACAAUGACCUUACGAGAAUCUGUCAUUUUUAUAGGAACGACCGCCUUAUUCCCUUCCCAGAAUUGCCAAACGCCACACCAUAUAACACGUUUGACCACUUUAGAUACCUCCAACUCCGAAGCUUCCUGUCAACCCCCACUAUAGCCGCUGCGGCGGUGUUGAAACCCACUGCAUUCGAAAGGGGCUGCCUGAACAAC